CGGACGGGUGAGUAACGCGUGGGUAACCUGCCCCAUAGAGGGGGACAACAGCUGGAAACGGCUGCUAAUACCGCAUAGCAGGGAAGAGACGCAUGUCUUUUUCUUCAAAGAUUUAUCGCUAUGGGAUGGACCCGCGUCUGAUUAGCUAGUUGGUAAGGUAACGGCCUACCAAGGCGACGAUCAGUAGCCGGCUUGAGAGAGUGGACGGCCACAUUGGGACUGAGACACGGCCCAGACUCCUACGGGAGGCAGCAG
rnacentral:rRNA from 1 species